AAACCAAUCCAGCGUGCUGGGUCUUGGGCUUUCGCCUCUGGGCGGGCCUCAAAGUCAGUGGCGGUGCUGCCAGGCUCUAAGCGUAGUAAUUCUUCUCGCUACAGGGUCCUGGUGGAGGCUUGCCAAUAACCCCAAAUAUUUCAAA
rnacentral:misc_RNA from 2 species